rnacentral:rRNA from 1 species
AGCCGAGCGGUAUAAGAUCUUCGGAUCUUAGAGAGCGGCGCACGGGUGCGGAACACGUGUGCAACCUACCUUUAUCAGGGGGAUAGCCUUUCGAAAGGAAGAUUAAUACCCCAUAAUAUAUUGAAUGGCAUCAUUUAAUAUUGAAAACUCCGGUGGAUAGAGAUGGGCACGCGCAAGAUUAGAUAGUUGGUGAGGUAACGGCUCACCAAGUCAAUGAUCUUUAGGGGGCCUGAGAGGGUGAUCCCCCACACUGGUACUGAGACACGGACCAGACUCCUACGGGAGGCAGCAGUGAGGAAUAUUGGACAAUGGGUGAGAGCCUGAUCCAGCCAUCCCGCGUGAAGGACGACGGCCCUAUGGGUUGUAAACUUCUUUUGUAUAGGGAUAAACCUUUCCACGUGUGGAAAGCUGAAGGUACUAUACGAAUAAGCACCGGCUAACUCCGUGCCAGCAGCCGCGGUAAUACGGAGGGUGCAAGCGUUAUCCGGAUUUAUUGGGUUUAAAGGGUCCGUAGGCGGACUCGUAAGUCAGUGGUGAAAUCUCAUAGCUUAACUAUGAAACUGCCAUUGAUACUGCGGGUCUUGAGUAAGGUAGAGGUAGCUGGAAUAAGUAGUGUAGCGGUGAAAUGCAUAGAUAUUACUUAGAACACCAAUUGCGAAGGCAGGUUACCAUGUCUUAACUGACGCUGAUGGACGAA